UCGACUGAUUGUUUCUAUGUUAAAAUCGUUGUCAAUGGAAUGACACGGUAUCCAUCUGUCACAUCAGUCUGAAAUGUCAAGUUCUCUGUAGGAUGGGCGGAGUGAUGAUAACCCAGAGCCCUAUUUAUUCACCUUGAACCGAUUCAAUGGGGAAGCAAAUACACCUCAAGUAACAUCGAUCCACCACAUUAAUUAAAGGGAAAAGGCUGCUGGGAAGGGAAAGGUGAGGCGAGUCCCCAAGGUACGUGACCAUUACUUCAAUUUACAUGAAGGUGGAAUUAAUUCCUUGUUUCACAAUCGAGAAAUAUCGACCAAGAGUAUGAAGCUUAGAAAGAACAACGUCAAAAUCACAGCUUCCACUCCAUUUGAUUAAUUGAAAAGGUGACAAUCACUUUGCUUAAAUUCAUGAGAAAGGUGGAUCCUCGCUAAUUAAGACCUUAACUACACUGCGUGGUAUUUGAGGUAUCAUUACUCAGUCACUUCAGUUAUCUCAGACAUCAUACCAUUGUAUCCUCAAUAAAAAGACAACAUGAACACAGAAGAGGGGUCAGUAUAUGCCCUGCUUCUUCUUUUUCUACUUCAGGGAAGUAUUGGCUUGGACAUCCUAAGCCAAAACAAUACCAUCAGAGAUGGCAAUCUCUUGGUCUCCAGUGGCAAAACGUUCGUUCUUGGUUUCUUCAGUCCAGAUAAUUCUAGCCGCCGUUAUGUCGGAAUUUGGUAUUACCGAGUUUCUGAACAAACCAUUGUUUGGGUUGCUAAUCGGGAGAGACCAAUCAGUGGCACUACGGGAGCUCUUUCAAUUGAUUCUGAUGGAAAUUUGGUGCUCCAUGAGAAAAAUGGAAGCUUUCCUGUUUGGUCGACAAAAGUUUCUUCUGGAUUAUCAAACUAUUCUACAACAGCUCGGCUUAUGGAUUCAGGUAAUCUUGUUCUGGUUCAAGAUUUUAGCAAGAGCGUGAUAUGGCAAAGCUUUGAUUAUCCUACAGACACUCUGCUUCCCCUCAUGAAACUUGGGUUGGACCUCAAAACCGGUUUGAACCGGUUCCUAACAUCAUGGGCGUCCCCAGAGGAUCCGGCACCCGGCAAUUACUCCUUCAGGAUUGACCCAAAGGGCUAUGCUCAAUUAUUCCUGUACAAGGAUGGGGAUCCGUACUGGCGUUCCGGAUCAUGGAUCGGAGAUCGGUGGAGUGGCAUACCCGAAAUGACUCGCAGGUUCAUCUUUAACAUAAGCUUUGUAAAUAACCCAGACGAGGUUUAUCUGAUGUAUGCCAUGAUCAACGCGUCGAUCAUCUCAAGAAUGGUUUUGAAGGAAUCGGGGUCAGCCCAACGAUUCACAUGGCAUGACCAAGAACAGCGGUGGAUACAAUUCUGGUUCGCUCCAAAGGACCAGUGCGAUUAUUACGGCAAGUGUGGACCCAACAGCAACUGCAAUCCAUAUGAUGCGGGCCAGUUCGAGUGCACAUGCCUGCCAGGGUUCGAGCCCAAGUCCCCGACUGAUUGGUACCUAAGGGAUGGAUCAGCCGGGUGCGUAAGGAGGCCCAGGGCGUCGGCAUGUCAACAUGGGGAAGGAUUUGUGAAGGUGCCGCUUGUGAAGGUGCCAGACACUUCGCAAGCACACACCAACAUGAGCUUUAGCUUGAAUGAGUGUGAGAAGGAAUGCCUGAGGAAUUGCUCUUGCACAGCUUAUGCUAGUGCCAAUGAGAUUCUAGGAGGUUUUGGGUGCCUCAUAUGGCAUGACAAUUUAGUUGAUACAAGAACAUUCACUGAUUCAGGUCAAGAUUUAUAUGUACGGGUCGAUGCCAUCGAGUUAGCUCGCUAUAGGAAAAAACAAGUUUCCUCAGCAAAAAGGCAAGGGUUGCGAUAAUUUUGGUUUCAGUUUUGACAGCGCUACUGCUCGCCAGCUCCAUCUCCUAUUGCUUGGUGAUCAAGAAGAGAAAUGGCAUCGAUCGCAGAAGGAAAAAUCCACUGAUUAGUGAGAUGACCAAUCUAACACGUUUCGAGGGCUCUCCGAGUGUAGAAGACUGCGAUGAUGGAGCUAGACGAAACAGAGAUGUACCGCUCUUUGAUCUGAGCACCAUAGCUUC